GCAAACUUGGUCAUUUAGAGGAAGUAAAAGUUGUAACAAGGUUUCCGUAGGUGAACCUGCGGAAGGAUCAUUAACAAAUCCAAUAUAUGUGGAGUUUACUCUACAAUAUUAAACCGCCGGUCCUUUAUAAUAUUAUUAUUAUGCGGUACUGGUUGGAUAUAUAUGCGUGUUAUGUUGACAGUGUGUGUAAUUAUAAAUUUAUUGACAACUUUUAACAAUGGAUCUCUAGGCUCUUGCAUCGAUGAAGAACGCAGC
rnacentral:misc_RNA from 1 species